rnacentral:lncRNA from 1 species
AUGUUUGACAGUUGCUGGCCCACGGGUUCAGCAGGAUUUGUACGUCCUUUACAUACCCCUCCCUCCACGAAGCACCAACAGUCCCGGGGACGGCCUGGCCGACCCAGCCGAGUCCCCCUCGCAGCCCCAGCCGAGCCUCCUCCUCCAAGAUCAAGGUGCCCUAAACCUUGCCCCCUGCCCAGGCGCACUUCUGUAAAAGUUUCUCUGCCUGCCAACCGUCGUCCCCCUCCCGGCCCAACACGCAACCUGCAGUCAUCUGCGAUUCGGGAUGGGUUCGGGGACAGACUUGUCCCCCGAAGGAAGACGGAUUUUAUUGAUACGUCUUGUAAAAUCAAGGCCCCGGAGCCGGGGUGGGGACUGGACUCCGUUCCUCCCCGGGAAGAGCCCGCGAGGAGGCAGCGAGAAGCCCAGCCGUGGGCAGGGGUCGGAGCGGAUUCCAGCGCCGGAAGCCCGCGCCCGGGGGCGCCCCGCACCUCUGCCUGCCGGGGCGGCCGGGCGCGAGCAGCUGCCGGACUGCGCCACCUCCCCCGGCUCGGAGCGGGUCUCACUCACCGUGGGCUUUUCACUUCAGCCCGGGGCCCUGACGGCUCCUGGCGCCGGGUCAGCUGCGGCCGGCGCGAGGGGAGGAAGCUGAGCUCCGGGCCGGGGGCGCCACGCCGGCGGAUCCGCGCCAAGGGCGCUGGGGCCAGCGCGCGCGGUCUCAGCGGGCCGGCCGGCGGGCGGGCGCGCGGGCGGACGCGGGGCUCCGGCUCCAGCCGCCGCUGCUCCAAAGUAGCCCCAGGGGCGCCCGGCGCGCGGCUCCCGAGCGGGGCCCCUGGCGGCCGCCGGCGGAAUGACAGCUCCACGAGGGAGAGGAGGCAGGUCGCCUCUGGGUCAUCUUCCCUCCGGAAAGAGGUGGAAUGGGCAAUGUGCGGGGGCUCCCAGCCUAGCGGAGAAGACAGCGACCCUCCGGCCAGGGCGGCGGGGAGAUCCUGGAUCAGAAAGGCUGCGUUCUGGCUCCACAACGGCCACAUCCAAGGCACCUAGAGACGGGGAAAUCGCUUACCUUGUCCAAGAUUCUCUGACUUGCUGAAAAAAAUGCCACGGACUGCCUGACAAUGGGGAGCAUUCAUUAAUCAUUGGAAAAUGCUUUGAGAUUCUGGCGGAUUUACUAGAACAAGCUGGGAGUAAUGGGAUGAGCGCAGACCUUACACCCCAAUCCGCAGCCUGCCGCUUUCUAUUUGUGUGAUCUUGAUCUGUAAACUCCAAGCCUCAGUAUUCUCCUCUGUAAACUGGGGAGAGCAAUAUGUAUCUUGCGGGGUGGUUAUGAGGGGUGAACUAAACGUAAGAAGUGGUCUUAGCUCGUAGUGGAAGUCAUUAAAUAAGCUUCCUGAGGAAAAGAAUGUCUUCUACAUCUUUUUAUUCCCCGUAUUGCUGCAUCUUAAUGCAUAUUGUUGAGUACAAAUAACGAUUACGUUUUACAGUUCUUACUACACAGAUUAAAGAGGUAUGGAAAUAAGUAGAAAUUAGGAUAUAUGGAGAAAACAUCCCUCCCCCAAAAGUGGUUUCUUCAACUUCUAAAUAAGAACCUCUAAAACCACAUGCAUCGUUUGCCAUUUCAAGUCAUUUCUGAUGUUGAAAGAAAUAUUUGAUAAAUAGUCAUGGCUUAAUGAUAUCAACCCUGGAUUAAAUGAUCCCAUGUAAUUCUGUGUCACUUGGGCAAUGCAAAAAUAUUGAAGAUUGUGAAUAUAAAACUCAAACAUGAGGGGAAAAAAUUGACAGACAACAAACCUCAGCCACUAAGCACUUUCUGCUUGUCAUCGAGUAAUGCAAUCUCAUUUCCAAACUACUUCAAACCCCAGUCGCUGCAUUUAAAGCUUCUUUUGUCCUUUUGGUCUCAUGGCAAUCAGAGCGCUCUUCAUCAUCCAGAAGAGUUAGAAUGGAAGUGCCUCUUAAUUACUCCAGUUUACCUUUAAUCGUCCUGCUCUCUCACUCUCUAGACCCUAAUUGGGAAGAGGCUGUUGGCUGCCUGAGAAUUCUCAUUACACUAUCUUUGCUGUUCUGUCAAGAAGAGAGGAAAAAUAAGGUUUCUUGGCUUAGAAGGUGAAGCGGAACAUGGAGAUCAAACUUCGGCCCUUGCAGACAGGGCUCAUGCUCCAGGGUGCAGCUGAGUAGGGCAUGGGCAGGGCAAAGAGGGCGUUCGAUUCCAAUCAAUAAACAUUAGUGGAAUUGCCUCUGCCUGUCUCCC